rnacentral:rRNA from 1 species
GUCUAUGGCCAUACCACCCUGAACAUGCUCAAUCUUGUCUGAUUUCAGAAGCUAAGCAGGGUUGGGCCUGGUUAGUACUUGGAGGAGAGUAGGAUGUUCUUUAAC